CCUUUGGACAUCACAACUAAAGAACUUCCGUUAGCUGAUCCAGCUAUUGCUGUUAUGUAGAAAUUCUUCUCCCACUGAUCCAUUAUCCAGUCCUAUGUAUAAUUGAAACAGAAGCUCAUGAACUUGAGAAAGGAAACCAGUUCCUGCAUCCAUUAUGAGGGCCCAAAGAUUUGCUGAAGACGCCACACAACUAAUGUAUAGACCAUCUUCAUUACCCUUCUCUAUAUGCUGCUGAAGCCUGUUGUCAGCCACUUCUUUGAUGUAAUUACCUUUGCUUCAUGGCCCGCCUGGCGUUAUAAACAGAAAUCCAUUGAGCUGCUGGGCUACCUAAUCUAACUUUCUUCUUGGGUUGCUCAUCUUCUUCAUGGUUUCUUCCACGUUUCUGCCCAACCUAUAAUUUAAGAGAAGGAGCGCCAUCAAUUCUGAUAGGUCUUGAGGCAGGUACCUCAAUCAAACUAUCAAAGAGAGAAAUCAGUUUGGCGUAAUUUGGCUCUUCAUCAAAUUUCAUAUUUGUGACAACUUCAAGAAACUGUUUGAAUGGAGGUGGACAGAAACAGCUUAGCAUCUCCGGAGAAGUAGCCAUUUUCUUCUUGCAAACAAGGAAACUCUUGGUAUCACCCUGGUAACCUUGCCAAGGCAAUCUUCCUCUUAUUAGAAAUAUAAGGGUGUACGCCAAUGACUCUAAAUCAUCCCUCCUACUACCAGUACGGCCUAAAUGGGCAUGGACACUGGCAUAUCUAAUUAAUAUUGCCAACCUAAAGAUAUCAGGCCUUUGGUCAUAAUCAACAUGUUGCCCUGAUGACUCCCUCCAUUUCGAUGCUCUUACCUAAACCAAGAUCAAUAAGAUAAAGCUUCUUCUCGUCAGGUGAUCCAGGCUGGCCAAGCAGAAAGUUCUCUGGUUUCACAUCACCAUGCACAUACCCUUUAGAAUGGAGCUUCUCAAGAAUUGAAAUGGCCUCUACAGCAAUGCAAGCACCCAUAUGUGGAGACAUCCUUGGACAGCUGGUAUGCCAUAGCAGCCAUUAAGAUUACUAGUAGGAAAGGUAAUAAUCAGUAAACUCAAAGAGCAGAGAAUAAUCUGGUACAAAUGAAAGAUGACUGUAUUAAGUACAUACUGGUAAACUUGCCACUCAUAGGGGGCACCAUAAUUGCACCCUUUACUGUUUCGAUGCUCAAGCUUCAAUGCAACCUACAUAGGGUCAUUU
rnacentral:sRNA from 1 species